rnacentral:rRNA from 1 species
UACGUAGGGCGCAAGCGUUAUCCGGAAUUAUUGGGCGUAAAGAGCUCGUAGGCGGUUUGUCGCGUCUGCUGUGAAAGACCGGGGCUCAACUCCGGUUCUGCAGUGGGUACGGGCAGACUAGAGUGCAGUAGGGGAGACUGGAAUUCCUGGUGUAGCGGUGAAUGCGCAGAUAUCAGGAGGAACACCGAUGGCGAAGGCAGGAUCUCCUGG